rnacentral:lncRNA from 1 species
UGCAGAUCAUUUCAACUUUCAUUGAAGGUGGGAAAAUCACUGUGUGAGAGCCUCCAGCCAUCUUGAAUUAUAUAGGGGUAGCUGGUCCCAGGCAAACCCACCUGGCUUCAGUCUAAUGAGAACAUGCUAAGCUGAGUUUCAGGGACCCCAGGUUCCUUUUGCAGUGACAACUGUGGUUAGCUCACUAGAAAAUAAUGGUACAAAGGGUGAAAAUCCUUUGAAGGUCAUCAAAGUAUUGUUACCUCAGCCAAGAGCCAGUCAUUUCUAUUUCUGCUUUCGCUGGCCAUCCAUCUCUCAUUGCAGCUGUCAUCCAGUCAUUUAAUCCACAAAGGCUUUCUAGAAGAUUUAUGUGUGUCCCGGCAGGGAGCAAGGCAAAUUCCCACCAUUGUGCAAUUCACAGUGGACAGUUGAAGACUCUUGUUAUGAUUUUAGCACUGCGUCAGGAAUCCAUCCUUUACCAGAGAGUGUAGAAGGAGCUGUGAACCCAUUCCACAGCGGUGGUUUCAAUUGCAGGUGAACCUGGGCCUCCUGUAGAUGUGGAUUCCUGUGUUCCAAUCCCAGGACUUCCUGGAGUGCCAGGCCCCAGAGGACCAGAAGGAGCUAUGGGGGACCCUGGACAGAGAGGCCUGCCUGGACCAGGGUGCAAAGGAGAGGCUGGCCUGGAUGGUAGGCGGGGCCAGGACGGCAUCCCUGGAUCUCCAGGACCUC